rnacentral:rRNA from 1 species
UAGGGAAUAUUGGUAAUGGGCGAAAGCCUGAACCAGCAACGCCGCGUGUGCGAUGAAGGCCUUCGGGUUGUAAAGCACUUUUCGCCGGGACGAGGAAGGACGGUACCGGUGGAAUCAGCCUCGGCUAACUACGUGCCAGCAGCCGCGGUAAAACGUAGGAGGCGAGCGUUAUCCGGAUUUACUGGGUGUAAAGCGCAUGCAGGCGGCUCGCUAAGUUGGUUGUGAAAGCUCCCGGCUUAACUGGGAGAGGUCGGUCAAGACUGGCGAGCUCGAGGAUGGGAAGGGAAAGCGGAAUUCCGGGUGUAGUGGUGAAAUGCGUAGAUAUCCGGAGGAACACCAGUGGCGAAGGCGGCUUUCUGGCCCAUGACUGACGCUCAGAUGCGAAAGCUAGGGUAGCAAACGGG